rnacentral:lncRNA from 1 species
GCAGAUGAAUGGUCUCUCUGGCUACCUUUAGACUUUCUUAUCAGCUUGCAGCUGAGCCCGUGCUUUCCCCACACCCCACUUCGUAAUUUCUGCAUGUUUGGUUGUUCAUUGCAGUGUGUUUGGAAGCAGUUAAACCUGUGGUGCUGUGAAGAAUCUGGCCAGCAUACAGGUUCCCAGCCCUGAAAGUGAUACAGGUGUCAGCACAACCCAGCAGGCUUGACCCAGCUGAUCCACACCUUCCAAAUGUGCCUUUAGAGGCAACUAGAAACACCUGCCCUGCUUAUGAGAUGUUAAAAGUGUAAGGGUUCUCACUAAGGUAGUGCUCUAAGAUUUAGGUAAGGUGACUGUGACUGUCUCUGUUAUGAGGAGCUAGGCAGGCUGGUGCUCUGGUCUUGCUUGUGAUGCCAUAUGCAGCAGAAAUCAGAGCUGUCUUCUGGCAAAAAGGCUCAAAGAGAUGUGGGGUCCUGUGGUGAGAGGCAUGUCCCAUGUGUUGGGGUGUGUGACCGGGUGUGGAGCUGAAGCUGGCCCUGACCCUCCAUCGUGGUGGAACUGGGAGCAGGCUCCUUGCUGCUUGGAGGAGGGACAGAGGGAACCCAGAGCUCAGCACUGCCUCAGAGAUUGUUGCCAAGAGGCUAAUCGUCUCCUUGCGGAGGCACUAGUGGAAGUGAUUGAGACGAAGGGGUGUCACAUCAUCUUGAUGCUGAAGAGCAUUUGUGGAAGUGGUUUUUCUGUAAUGAGCCAUAACGUGUUGUGUCUUCGCACACCUCUGAACAAGGCUAUGAACACAUCAGAAGAUUUUUCUAACAACUGGGUCAGCAGAAAAACAAAAGGAAGGUGGGAGCUGCAUCUGAAUACUUUAAACAGCUAAUUCUAGUGGCAACCAGUGGCACAACAGAUGCUUCAUGAACGGGUGAAGCAUCUCAGGUGUGUUGGUGGAGACACAACGGUGUGGAGAGGAGGGAGUUUGAGCAAGAAGAUAGAAACUGGACUCUCUGCUCCUCUGCAUCUCUGGGCUCUGUGACGUGAUUUGCUCAGUGUCUCACCAUGCCAGCGUAUCCAUAGCGAUGCUGAGAGACUUAAUUCACAGUGAGCGAGUUACAUCCACAGCAGCGCUGUGUGCCCCCCAUACCUGUGUGUAGCUCGGUGCAGGAGCAGCUUUGUCCCCACGCUGUCCUGUACUCGAAAGGGAAGCACAGGGCAGUACCCUGUGGCCAAAGCCACAGCUGCGGCAGCACCUGGGGAAGUGUUGGGAGCGCUGCUGGCUCUUGCCAAGAUGUGCUUGGGCAGACCAGGGUGCUCUCCUGGCGUCUGACCACCUGUGUGCUCCUGAAACAUCCCUGCUGGAAAUGACACAUCCCUGUGGGUCAAAAAACCUUUCUGAAGAAUAAGUUUUUAGCCUGGGUCUCCCACACCCAACGCUCAUAACCUCACUGCUGGUUCACUUUCCGGUAGGGACAGACUAUGUUACAGAGCCAGAAUUUCAUGGGCAAAUAAGUCCCAGC